CACGUAGGGUGCGAGCGUUUGUCCGGAAUUAUUGGGCGUAAAGCGCACGUAGGCGGAUCUUUAAGUCAGGGGUGAAAUCCUGGAGCUCAACUCCAGAACUGCCUUUGAUACUGAGGAUCUUGAGUUCGGGAGAGGUGAGUGGAACUGCGAGUGUAGAGGUGAAAUUCGUAGAUAUUCGCAAGAACACCCGUGGCGAAGGCGGCUCUCUGGGACGGUACUGACGCUGAGACGCGAAAGCGUGGGGAGCGAACAGG
rnacentral:rRNA from 1 species